rnacentral:lncRNA from 1 species
GUGAUUUUUUUGCAUUAUUUGUUUAUAAUUCACAAAUAUGCAAAUAAGGCUGUUAAAUGGAAAAUAGUGUGAAUUAACCAAAACAUUUUUUUUUAUCUUAACUCCUAAAUACCCAAAGAUUUUGGAAAUAUAUAUAAUGUUGCAAAGUUAUUACUACCAAUUUGGACGAAAUUUGAGAUUUUGCAUGGUUUUAUGGCAGACUGGCUCUUAAAG